rnacentral:rRNA from 1 species
AUGAACAUUGCUCUCCUUACCCGAUGGCUCUGGCGGAUCGCCAAUGGGGAGGGCGGCCUUUGGCUUACCAUAAUCUAGAAUAAGUACCUUCGGGGCCAACCUCUCGCUUUCUGUCAGCGCUCCGGUGGCUCCCAGUUCUGGCAGGCCGUGAUUCAGCUCCUUCCCGUGCUUCGCAUUGGCACGUCCAUCUUGGUGGGCUCCGAAGCCUCGACCCUGUUCUAG